CGUUCUGUAAGCCUGUGAAGGUGGCCUGUGAGGGUUGCUGGAGGUAUCAGAAGUGCGAAUGCUGACAUAAGUAACGAUAAAGCGGGUGAAAAGCCCGCUCGCCGGAAGACCAAGGGUUCCUGUCCAACGUUAAUCGGGGCAGGGUGAGUCGACCCCUAAGGCGAGGCCGAAAGGCGUAGUCGAUGGGAAACAGGUUAAUAUUCCUGUACUUGGUGUUACUGCGAAGGGGGGACGGAGAAGGCUAUGUUGGCCGGGCGACGGUUGUCCCGGUUUAAGCGUGUAGGCUGGUUUUCCAGGCAAAUCCGGAAAAUCAAGGCUGAGGCG
rnacentral:rRNA from 1 species